rnacentral:rRNA from 1 species
UAUUGGUCAAUGGAUGGAAGUCUGAACCAGCCAUGCCGCGUGCAGGAAGAAGGCCUACUGGGUUGUAAACUGCUUUUGCCAGGGGAUAAAAUGACCUUGCGAGGUUAAUUGAAGGUACCUGGUGAAUAAGCCACGGCUAACUACGUGCCAGCAGCCGCGGUAAUACGUAGGUGCCAAGCGUUGUCCGGAUUUAUUGGGUUUAAAGGGUGCGUAGGCGGCUUAUUAAGUCAGUGGUGAAAUACUCUAGCUCAACUAGAGGGGUGCCAUUGAUACUGAUGAGCUUGAGUACAGAUGAGGUAGGCGGAAUUGACGGUGUAGCGGUGAAAUGCUUAGAUAUCGUCAAGAACACCUAUAGCGAAGGCAGCUUACUAGGCUGUAACUGGCGCUGAGGCACGAAAGUGUGGGGAUCAAACAG